UACGUAGGGGGCAAGCGUUGUCCGGAUUUACUGGGCGUAAGAGCGCGCAGGCGGUCGAUCAAGUCGAGUGUGAAAGCCCCCGGCUCAACUGGGGAGGGUCAUUCGAUACUGAUCGACUCGAAGGCAGGAGAGGGUAGUGGAAUUCCCGGUGUAGUGGUGAAAUGCGUAGAUAUCGGGAGGAACACCAGUGGCGAAGGCGACUACCUGGCCGUGUUCUUGAC
rnacentral:rRNA from 1 species